GCCAGGUGUGGUGGUGCAUGCCUGUAAUCCCAGUGGCUUGGGAGGCUGAGGCAGGAGGACCCUGAGUUCAAAGCCAGCCUCAGCAACUCAGCAAGGCCCUAAGCAACUCAGCAAGACCUUGUCUCUA
rnacentral:sRNA from 1 species